AAACAGAUCAAAACUUGAAAGAUGGCAAGAGACUCCAUCUUCAUCUUCUCUCUUGUCUUAUUUUUCCUCCUUUCUUCUGCAAAUGCCUCUGAAAACCCCAACUCCGUGUCAUCUUCUGUACACGAGGAGCUCAGGAAGAACGGUUUCCCAACUGGGUUGCUCCCAACAAACGUCGUAGCUUACACCCUCAACCGGACCUCCGGUGAUUUCUCUGUAAAUCUCGGCGAUUCGUGUAAGGUUUUGAUCCCUCCGGACAAUUAUGAAACUGCAUACUCGAAGAAGAUAACGGGGAAACUUAUCCACAGAAGAAUCGCCAACCUUGACGGGAUACGAGUUAGGGCUUUCUUCACGUGGUGGUCUAUCACCGGAAUUAUCUCAAGCGGUGAGAAUUUGAUUCUUGAGGCUGGAAUAGGGUCGGCCACGUACCCAUCGAAGAGUUUCGAGGAAAGUUUGACGUGUAAGGGUCAGCGCUCCUCUUAGUAACUGGAUCUUAAAGAUGGAAAAGAUGAUUGGUACGUGGCAAGUAUUAGGCCGAAGGAUUGUUUUAUUUGAAUGGUGGUGAUUUGUAGAAAUAGAAAGCACUCUGUAUGCCACUUUCUCCUCUGCAGUGGCAUCGUCAAUUGGGUCAUUUGUCUUUUUCUCCUACUUCCAAGAAAUUAGUUCUUAGUUUAGCAUUACCGAGUUACAAUGUUAAUCGUGUCAACUUGGUAAGCACAGUCGAGUGUCUUUUGUUUCAAGAGAAAAUAAAAGAGUGACAGGUCCUUUUGUUAUUGUCCACUCUAAUGUUUGUGGUCCAAAUUGUAUUGAGUCAUAAAUAGUUUUAAAUAUUUUUGUUACAUCUAUUGAUGGUUAUGGUUACUCCAGAAUGUUAUGGAUUUAUUUAAUGAAAAUCUA